GAUGAACGCUGGCGGCGUGCUUAACACAUGCAAGUCGAACGAAGCACCUUGAUUCGAUUCUUCGGAUGAAGAUCUUGGUGACUGAGUGGCGGACGGGUGAGUAACGCGUGGGUAACCUGCCUCAUACAGGGGGAUAACAGUUAGAAAUGACUGCUAAUACCGCAUAAGACCACAGCACCGCAUGGUGCAGGGGUAAAAACUCCGGUGGUAUGAGAUGGACCCGCGUCUGAUUAGGUAGUUGGUGGGGUAACGGCCUACCAAGCCGACGAUCAGUAGCCGACAUGAGAGGGUGACCGGCCACAUUUGGACUGAGACACGGCCCAAAAUCCUACGGGAGGGAGCAGUGGGGAAUAUUGCACAAUGGGGGAAACCCUGAUGCAGCGACGCCGCGUGAGCGAUGAAGUAGUUCGGUAUGUAAAGCUCUAUCAGCAGGGAAGAAAAUGACGGUACCUGACUAAGAAGCACCGGCUAAAUACGUG
rnacentral:rRNA from 1 species